UACGUAGGGGGCAAGCGUUGUCCGGAUUUAUUGGGCGUAAAGAGCGUGUAGGCGGCUAGGUAGGUCCGUUGUGAAAACUCGAGGCUCAACCUCGAGACGCCGGUGGAAACCAUCUAGCUAGAGUCCGGAAGAGGAGACUGGAAUUCCUGGUGUAGCGGUGAAAUGCGCAGAUAUCAGGAGGAACACCGAUGGCGAAGGCAGGUCUCUGGGCCACUACUGACGCUGAGAAGCGAAAGCAUGGGGAGCGAACAGG
rnacentral:rRNA from 1 species